rnacentral:misc_RNA from 1 species
ACCCAGAAGCAGCUAAAUAUGUUCAUGGCAUUGCUGUACAUUGGUACCUGGACUUUCUGGCUCCAGCCAAAGCCACCCUAGGGGAGACACACCGCCUGUUCCCCAACACCAUGCUCUUUGCCUCAGAGGCCUGUGUGGGCUCCAAGUUCUGGGAGCAGAGUGUGCGGCUAGGCUCCUGGGAUCGAGGGAUGCAGUACAGCCACAGCAUCAUCACGAACCUCCUGUACCAUGUGGUCGGCUGGACCGACUGGAACCUUGCCCUGAACCCCGAAGGAGGACCCAAUUGGGUGCGUAACUUUGUCGACAGUCCCAUCAUUGUAGACAUCACCAAGGACACGUUUUACAAACAGCCCAUGUUCUACCACCUUGGCCACUUCAGGUGAGUGGAGGGCGGGCACCCCCAUUCCAUACCAGGCCUAUCAUCUCCUACAUCGGAUGGCUUACAUCACUCUACACCACGAGGGAGCAGGAAGGUGUUCAGGGUGGAACCUCGGAAGAGGCACACCCAUCCCCUUUUGCACCAUGGAGGCAGGAAGUGACUAGGUAGCAACAGAAAACCCCAAUGCCUGAGGCUGGACUGCGAUGCAGAAAAGCAGGGUCAGUGCCCAGCAGCAUGGCUCCAGGCCUAGAGAGCCAGGGCAGAGCCUCUGCAGGAGUUAUGGGGUGGGUCCGUGGGUGGGUGACUUCUUAGAUGAGGGUUUCAUGGGAGGUACCCCGAGGGACUCUGACCAUCUGUUCCCACAUUCAGCAAGUUCAUUCCUGAGGGCUCCCAGAGAGUGGGGCUGGUUGCCAGUCAGAAGAACGACCUGGACGCAGUGGCACUGAUGCAUCCCGAUGGCUCUGCUGUUGUGGUCGUGCUAAACCGCUCCUCUAAGGAUGUGCCUCUUACCAUCAAGGAUCCUGCUGUGGGCUUCCUGGAGACAAUCUCACCUGGCUACUCCAUUCACACCUACCUGUGGUGUCGCCAGUGAUGGAGCAGAUACUCAAGGAGGCACUGGGCUCAGC